GUGAGUCAUCGAAUCUUUGAACGCACAUUGCGCCCUCUGGUAUUCCGGGGGGCAUGCCUGUUCGAGCGUCAUUACAACCCUCAAGCUCUGCUUGGUGUUGGGCGCCGCCAUCCGUGGCGCGCCUCAAAGUCAGUGGCGGUGCCGUCCGGCCCCAAGCGUAGUAGUACUCUUCUCGCUUCAGGGGCCCGGGCUCGCGCCGGCCAGCAACCCACACUUACUCAAUGGUUGACCUCGGAUCAGGUAGGGAUACCCGCUGAACUUAAGCAUAUCAAUAAGCGGAGGA
rnacentral:misc_RNA from 1 species